UUUAUCUUAACAAUUUAAUUGAGAAAUUUAUGUGUUUUAUUAAGAAUAUUGUUAAGAAAUGUCUAGGCAAGUUCCCAUAAUUUUUAUGAAUUUAUUGAAGAAUUUUUUUUGAGAUGAAAGAAAAAGUUCAGGGACAACCGAGACGUCUCCUGAUAGUCUCAGAGACGUCUCUGGCACAAACAGGAAGAACUGGCACACUUGGAGACGUCCCCGGCACCUGCCGAGUCGUCCCCACGACAGCGGAGUCGACUCUCUCAGUAGCGGAGUCGACUCUCUCAGUGGCGGCAGAAAGGCAGUUUUCAAGAGAUAUGCGCGAGACGUCCCCACAGCAAGCAGAGUCGUCCCCACAAAU
rnacentral:lncRNA from 1 species